rnacentral:tRNA from 1 species
AGAAAGAUGGCCUUGUGGAUAAAGCACUGGACUAGGACUCAAGAGACCUGGGUUUAAUUCCCAGUUCUGCUG